UUCAUCUCUCCUGGAGUAAUUCCUUUCUCUCGGACGUUAUCCUUACCAGAUGGCAAGUCUGUCAGAAUCUUUUUGGACGUUGAACAUGGAAUUGCUGAUUUACCUGCUUCAAACAGUAAGCGACUCGAACCAUCACAUGUGGCAGGAGUCAGGAAGCAGGCGCUGCAAGAUUGAAUGGAUGUUCCAAUUUUCAUGACAUUUCAGCAAAUCAGACACCAUCAGUGAGGCUUUCCCUACCCGUCCCACCCUAACCAAGCAUGGCGCAGACUCUCAUCCUCCCGUCAUGUAUCAGGCUUCCUCUGCAGCUUGUCACUUGGCACCAACACGUCUGAGUCAUCUUCUAUCCAUCGUGCGGCGGAGGUGGGGAUGAUAUGGAGAUGUGGCCUUAGGACCACCAGGCAGAUGGACCAACUUCCAGGGCAGCGCCACAGGAUCAGAGGCUGGCUUUGAACCACUGUGUGUCAGAGGUGUCCUUAACUCCCGGUCCUCCUGUGAUCCGUUCCUGUGUUUGGGAACGGAAGCCAGCGCUCCACUCAAGCCAG